rnacentral:rRNA from 1 species
GGGUUGUGAGGUUAAGCGACUAAGCGUACACGGUGGAUGCCCUGGCAGUCAGAGGCGAUGAAGGACGUGCUAAUCUGCGAUAAGCGUCGGUAAGGUGAUAUGAACCGUUAUAACCGGCGAUUUCCGAAUGGGGAAACCCAGUGUGAUUCGUCACACUAUCAUUAACUGAAUCCAUAGGUUAAUGAGGCGAACCGGGGGAACUGAAACAUCUAAGUACCCCGAGGAAAAGAAAUCAACCGAGAUUCCCCCAGUAGCGGCGAGCGAACGGGGAGCAGCCCAGAGCCUGAAUCAGUGUGUGUGUUAGUGGAAGCGUCUGGAAAGGCGUGCGAUACAGGGUGACAGCCCCGUACACAAAAAUGCACAUACUGUGAGCUCGAUGAGUAGGGCGGGACACGUGGUAUCCUGUCUGAAUAUGGGGGGACCAUCCUCCAAGGCUAAAUACUCCUGACUGACCGAUAGUGAACCAGUACCGUGAGGGAAAGGCGAAAAGAACCCCGGCGAGGGGAGUGAAAAAGAACCUGAAACCGUGUACGUACAAGCAGUGGGAGCACAGAGCAAUCUGUGUGACUGCGUACCUUUUGUAUAAUGGGUCAGCGACUUAUAUUCUGUAGCAAGGUUAACCGAAUAGGGGAGCCGAAGGGAAACCGAGUCUUAACUGGGCGUUAAGUUGCAGGGUAUAGACCCGAAACCCGGUGAUCUAGCCAUGGGCAGGUUGAAGGUUGGGUAACACUAACUGGAGGACCGAACCGACUAAUGUUGAAAAAUUAGCGGAUGACUUGUGGCUGGGGGUGAAAGGCCAAUCAAACCGGGAGAUAGCUGGUUCUCCCCGAAAGCUAUUUAGGUAGCGCCUCGUGAAUUCAUCUCCGGGGGUAGAGCACUGUUUCGGCAAGGGGGUCAUCCCGACUUACCAACCCGAUGCAAACUGCGAAUACCGGAGAAUGUUAUCACGGGAGACACACGGCGGGUGCUAACGUCCGUCGUGAAGAGGGAAACAACCCAGACCGCCAGCUAAGGUCCCAAAGUCAUGGUUAAGUGGGAAACGAUGUGGGAAGGCCCAGACAGCCAGGAUGUUGGCUUAGAAGCAGCCAUCAUUUAAAGAAAGCGUAAUAGCUCACUGGUCGAGUCGGCCUGCGCGGAAGAUGUAACGGGGCUAAACCAUGCACCGAAGCUGCGGCAGCGACGCUUAUGCGUUGUUGGGUAGGGGAGCGUUCUGUAAGCCUGUGAAGGUGUACUGUGAGGUAUGCUGGAGGUAUCAGAAGUGCGAAUGCUGACAUAAGUAACGAUAAAGCGGGUGAAAAGCCCGCUCGCCGGAAGACCAAGGGUUCCUGUCCAACGUUAAUCGGGGCAGGGUGAGUCGACCCCUAAGGCGAGGCCGAAAGGCGUAGUCGAUGGGAAACAGGUUAAUAUUCCUGUACUUGGUGUUACUGCGAAGGGGGGACGGAGAAGGCUAUGUUGGCCGGGCGACGGUUGUCCCGGUUUAAGCGUGUAGGCUGGUUUUCCAGGCAAAUCCGGAAAAUCAAGGCUGAGGCGUGAUGACGAGGCACUACGGUGCUGAAGCAACAAAUGCCCUGCUUCCAGGAAAAGCCUCUAAGCAUCAGGUAACAUCAAAUCGUACCCCAAACCGACACAGGUGGUCAGGUAGAGAAUACCAAGGCGCUUGAGAGAACUCGGGUGAAGGAACUAGGCAAAAUGGUGCCGUAACUUCGGGAGAAGGCACGCUGAUAUGUAGGUGAAGUCCCUCGCGGAUGGAGCUGAAAUCAGUCGAAGAUACCAGCUGGCUGCAACUGUUUAUUAAAAACACAGCACUGUGCAAACACGAAAGUGGACGUAUACGGUGUGACGCCUGCCCGGUGCCGGAAGGUUAAUUGAUGGGGUUAGCGCAAGCGAAGCUCUUGAUCGAAGCCCCGGUAAACGGCGGCCGUAACUAUAACGGUCCUAAGGUAGCGAAAUUCCUUGUCGGGUAAGUUCCGACCUGCACGAAUGGCGUAAUGAUGGCCAGGCUGUCUCCACCCGAGACUCAGUGAAAUUGAACUCGCUGUGAAGAUGCAGUGUACCCGCGGCAAGACGGAAAGACCCCGUGAACCUUUACUAUAGCUUGACACUGAACAUUGAGCCUUGAUGUGUAGGAUAGGUGGGAGGCUUGGAAGUGUGGACGCCAGUCUGCAUGGAGCCGACCUUGAAAUACCACCCUUUAAUGUUUGAUGUUCUAACGUUGACCCGUAAUCCGGGUUGCGGACAGUGUCUGGUGGGUAGUUUGACUGGGGCGGUCUCCUCCUAAAGAGUAACGGAGGAGCACGAAGGUUGGCUAAUCCUGGUCGGACAUCAGGAGGUUAGUGCAAUGGCAUAAGCCAGCUUGACUGCGAGCGUGACGGCGCGAGCAGGUGCGAAAGCAGGUCAUAGUGAUCCGGUGGUUCUGAAUGGAAGGGCCAUCGCUCAACGGAUAAAAGGUACUCCGGGGAUAACAGGCUGAUACCGCCCAAGAGUUCAUAUCGACGGCGGUGUUUGGCACCUCGAUGUCGGCUCAUCACAUCCUGGGGCUGAAGUAGGUCCCAAGGGUAUGGCUGUUCGCCAUUUAAAGUGGUACGCGAGCUGGGUUUAGAACGUCGUGAGACAGUUCGGUCCCUAUCUGCCGUGGGCGCUGGAGAACUGAGGGGGGCUGCUCCUAGUACGAGAGGACCGGAGUGGACGCAUCACUGGUGUUCGGGUUGUCAUGCCAAUGGCACUGCCCGGUAGCUAAAUGCGGAAGAGAUAAGUGCUGAAAGCAUCUAAGCACGAAACUUGCCCCGAGAUGAGUUCUCCCUGACUCCUUGAGAGUCCUGAAGGAACGUUGAAGACGACGACGUUGAUAGGCCGGGUGUGUAAGCGCAGCGAUGCGUUGAGCUAACCGGUACUAAUGAACCGUGAGGCUUAACCUUACAACGCCGAAG